AGGAAGUAAAAGUCGUAACAAGGUUUCCGUAGGUGAACCUGCGGAAGGAUCAUUACUGCGUGGCGCGAAAAAUUCCCGUCGCACGCCAGAGGCAAAGUGACAGAGUGGCAAAGCGAACGCGGAUCGGGUACCGGCCUGCCGUCGGUUUUCAAAGUCUCGCGCCCGACCCGGACGGCUGAGAAAAACGCCCUGUCGGUCUGUUCACCGCUGGGAAAAGGCUUUUUCCUUCUCAAAGUAAAAAAAAAAUGAAUGCAAAUCCUAAACGGUGGAUCACUCGGCUCGUGGAUCGAUGAAGGACGCAGCAAACUGCGCGUCGAAUUGUGAACUGCAGGACACAUGAACAUCGACGCUUCGAACGCACAUUGCAGCCCACGGAUUCUGUUCCCGGGCUACGCCUGGCUGAGGGCCGGCUACCGAGUUCACCGGCGCGCCGUCGCCGGCGAUUUGGGUCGGGGUCGCUCCGUCCACCGGAGGGUCCCGGGCCCGUCUCGAACCGAGGGCGAACGCGGUCGGACGCCUCGUCCACCGCCGCCGCAGAGACGCUUCGUUUUCCACGGAGACGGCGUCCGCGGGCGGCGAGGUUAAACGGGGCGUUCCGACCGGGCGUCGCUCGCCCGCAGAGAACGAAAGAGACACGCCGACCUCAGAGCAGGUGAGACCACCCGCUGAAUUUAAKCAUAUUAAUAAGCGGAGGAAAAGAAACUAACCAG
rnacentral:rRNA from 1 species